rnacentral:rRNA from 1 species
AGCGAACGCUGGCGGCGGGCCUAACACAUGCAAGUCGAGCGCAUACCUUCGGGUAUGAGCGGCGGACGGGUGAGUAACGCGUAGGUCAUCUACCCUUUGGUGGGGGAUAACCCAGGGAAACUUGGGCUAAUACCGCACGAGGUCCACGGAUCAAAGCCUUCGGGCGCCAGAGGAUGAGCCUGCGUCGCAUUACCUAGUUGGCGGGGUAACGGCCCACCAAGGGGACGAUGCGUAGCUGGUCUGAGAGGAUGAUCAGCCACACUGGGACUGAGACACGGCCCAGACUCCUACGGGAGGCAGCAGUGGGGAAUAUUGCGCAAUGGGGGAAACCCUGACGCAGCCACGCCGCGUGGGUGAUGAAGGCCUUCGGGUUGUAAAGCCCUGUCGGGAGGGACGGAAUUCUUGACGGUACCUCCAAAGAAAGCACCGGCUAACUCCGUGCCAGCAGCCGCGGUAAU